UACGAAGGGGGCUAGCGUUGUUCGGAAUUACUGGGCGUAAAGGGCGCGUAGGCGGCUGUCCAAGUCAGAUGUGAAAGCCCCGGGCUUAACCUGGGAAUUGCAUUUGAGACUGGGCGGCUUGAGUUUCGGAGAGGUGGGUGGAAUUCCCAGUGUAGAGGUGAAAUUCGUAGAUAUUGGGUGGAACACCGGUGGCGAAAGCGGCUCUCUGGUCCGGACCUGACGCCUGAGGCGCGAAAGCGUGGGGAGCAAACAGG
rnacentral:rRNA from 1 species